rnacentral:rRNA from 1 species
AACGCUAGCUACAGGCUUAACACAUGCAAGUCGAGGGGUCUCGAAGGAGCUUGCUCCCAAGAGACGACCGGCGCACGGGUGAGUAACGCGUAUCCAACCUGCCCUUCAUAUUGGGAUAGCCUUCCGAAAGGAAGAUUAAUACCGAAUAACAUGAGAGGUUUGCAUGAAUCUCUCAUGAAAGCUCCGGCGAUGAAGGAUGGGGAUGCGUUCCAUUAGGUAGUAGGCGGGGUAACGGCCCACCUAGCCUACGAUGGAUAGGGGUUCUGAGAGGAAGGUCCCCCACACUGGAACUGAGACACGGUCCAGACUCCUACGGGAGGCAGCAGUGAGGAAUAUUGGUCAAUGGGCGCAAACCUGAACCAGCCAAGUAGCGUGAAGGAUGACUGCCCUAUGGGUUGUAAACUUCUUUUAUACGGGAACAAACCCCGGUACGUGUACCGGUCUGCGUGUACCGUAUGAAUAAGCAUCGGCUAACUCCGUGCCAGCAGCCGCGGUGAUACGGAGGAUGCGAGCGUUAUCCGGAUUUAUUGGGUUUAAAGGGAGCGUAGGUGGUCCGUUAAGCCAGCUGUGAAAUACUGUAGCUCAACUACAGCCGUGCAGUUGGAACUGGCAGACUUGAGUGCACUAGAGGAAGGUGGAAUUCGUGGUGUAGCGGUGAAAUGUUUAGAUAUCACGAAGAACUCCGAUUG